rnacentral:lncRNA from 1 species
CUUCUCUCUCUAAUUCUUAUUUCCCUCUAACUUUUCUUUUUUCUUAAUCUUUUCUUGAGGCCCACCUACACACAGAUAACAAGUGAUUCAGCAGCAAGAUUGUUAAGUGGUCUUUGCCCCUAAAUAUACCAAAGCCCAAAGCAAUUCAGUCAAGAAGGCUUCCUCCUACCUCCAGUUGCCCAACUGAAUGGGGGAACAUCACUACAUUCCUUUCACCUCCUUUCUCCCUAUUCUUUUCCAUUUUAUUUAAUCUGUUUCUAUUUUAUCUUUAAUUAACUAUUUUAUGCUUCUCAUUAAAUCCAACCAUUAGCAUGGAAAGCACCCCCACACACACACACCUCCCUUCUCUUCAUCUUUGUCAUCAUCUUUUGCUUGCAUUUGUCGAUAUUCUUCCUCUCACCUCAUUAUGUCUGGUUAAUGAAAAGGCUGUAGUGGAAUGAGAAUUCCAAAUUUGCCUCCACUCUGAUGUCAGGUUUGUGCAACAAGAAAAAUCACAUUUCUUUGGAAUUGCCAUUCCCUUAAAUAGAGAAAUUGUAAUUCUACUUUUAAAUGUAUUUUGAUGAGCAGUACUUAUGGCUUAAAAUGUGAAUGAAUGAUAUCUAUGAUAUGAAAUAAUUAGUGACAAUUACAGUACAAAAUUAAAAUAAAUGAUUUAAUUAAGAUUUGAACUGCAAAGUCUUCUUAAACUUUUUAGCUAUUUUAUUCAAGGACACAUUCAAAAAAAUACAUAUGAUAUCGAUUCCAUUCUAGAAUGUUUCUGGCUAAAUCAAAAGUUAAAAUGGAAUUAUCAUUCCUUACUUGUGCAGUCUUACAUUCAUUGCCCAAACAAUAGAACAAGAAUACUGAUUCUGAUCCUUUAUUUUCCAUCUUAUCAAUUUCUGAUUCCCAUACCAGUUCUUCCUUAAUUAUGCGAAACAAGCAUAAGGUAACAGUAUAGUUCCAAUCAGACAAGAAGUAUACUCAUCACUUCAUUAUUUUUAAAUACCACUUCGCUUAAAGUGGCUCAACUCCAGAACCAUAAAUAACACUCUUAAAAUCUUAAAUGUUUACCAUGCUAAAACCAGAAAAACAAUUGAGCAUUACUGGCAAAGUGCUGGAAAGUUUAACUUUGAUUGCUAUUUGACAAUCACAACCAAGAUAUUAACUAGGCAUCAUUUGGUUUGUACAGUAUGUGAGGUUGUAAUAGACAUGUUUUAGUCUAUACAAAACUGGGACGGAUGUUAUAGACCUGAAGAAUUCCCAAAUCUGUUCUAAGGACUGUCACUGUCUACAUAUUUAUACAAUACUAAAAAGAGUGAGUUGGGGUCUUCUAUGAAAUUUGCCUUAGAUGGAAAUAAUUUGUCCGCUCAAAUUUGUUAAGAGAAUUCUGGAAAGUAAAUCUCAUGUAGCAUUCUUUCUCAUUGUUACACUUAGCAACCACCAUGAGUAUCAACUACAAUCCCUUGCAAAUAGGAAUUCAUCAACCCAACAAAAACA